rnacentral:snoRNA from 1 species
ACUCUCCCCGGGCUCUGUCCUAGUGGCGUACGGGAGCUUAGGGCACUGCCCGGUGAUGUACAGUCCCUUUCCACAACGUUGGAGAUGAAGCUGGGCUUCGAGUCUGCGCCUGCAUAUUCCUACGACUUCUCAGAGUCCUGUGGACCAUGACUGAGGAGAC